UGGAAGACUAGUGAUUUUGUUU
rnacentral:ncRNA from 3 species